rnacentral:lncRNA from 1 species
UUGUAUUCUGUAACUUCUUCAUUGUCCUCUGCACAUAAAUCAUUAUCUGCUAUGCCACACGGACAAGUUGGGGGACGAAUUUUGCUAUUAGCUGGAACUGACUGGAAGUAUACAAAAAACAAUGUUUGAUUUUUUAUGGUUGUCUUAUUUGAGUUGCCUAACAUACAAAAAUGCCCCAAUUUUGUCUCCUGGAGCGGUGAUCAAUACCGAAGGGUAGCAGUGCAGGUGAGAAGCGAGCGGAGGAGGGUGUCGUUGCUGGCUAAUCAAGAUAACUUUGUUCACUUGCUCGGUUGUGGACCAUGGUACCUUUCAUUGUUCUCUGAAUUUCCCUCUUUUAGAUUUGAUCUUGUCCUCCAAACUAUACCUCCAGUUGUAUGUGUACGUGAUCUAUGAUUUUGUUUCCAUUUGGUAAAUGUUAACUUUUGUCUAUAUUUAGUUGUUGCACAUGUUCUAUUUAUCCUUUCCCUUCAAUUGUAGUUCUUUUUGUGUCGCUCAUAUGGAUACUAUAAAUUAGUUCAUUGUUCUUUGCCAUUUGUAUUUUUCAUGAUGAUUUAAAAUAUUUAAGAUCAAAUUGGUAUGUUUUAUGGACAUCCAGAAUUUCCAUUAGCCAUGCUGGUGCAGGAUUGUUGUAUCUAAAUUUCUAGAGAGGCUUGGUGCCAAAAUGGUUAUUACAGCUCAUCUCAGUGUCAAAAUGGUUAUUAAACCUUAAACAAACAUUUGUUCGUGUGUCGAGUUUAUAGGUUCCCUUGCUCAAAUAUGGAAAUGAUGUCGUUUGUGAACUUCAAUGCACAUGAUUUACCUGUGAUAUUAGUUGGUCUCGAACAACUGCAGUUGUAUUUCCCAACCAUGCUAUUGAUGCAACGUCGAAAUUAAUAUUACCUUUUUCUUUUGUUUUCUUGGGAUCAUAAUUUACUUCUUCUUCUCUGCUUUUUUCUCUAUCUGCCUCAUUAAGUAUUUGUAUUUUAGGAUGCUAAAGAUGGAACAACAUAGGUUUCACUCAACAUUUGGGCAAACAUAGUGCGGCGAUCCGGAAGGAAGGGGAUUGGCACAGGUUGCGGCGGCGUAAUAGGGUAGG